GAUGAACGCUGGCGGCGUGCCUAAUACAUGCAAGUCGAACGAAACUUCUUUAUCACCGAGUGCUUGCACUCACCGAUAAAGAGUUGAGUGGCGAACGGGUGAGUAACACGUGGGCAACCUGCCCAAAAGAGGGGGAUAACACUUGGAAACAGGUGCUAAUACCGCAUAACCAUAGUUACCGCAUGGUAACUAUGUAAAAGGUGGCUAUACUACCGCUUUUGGAUGGGCCCGCGGCGCAUUAGCUAGUUGGUAGGGUAAAGGCUUACCAAGGCAAUGAUGCGUAGCCGAAUUGAGAGGUUGAUCGGCCACAUUGGGACUGAGACACGGCCCAAACUCCUACGGGAGGCAGCAGUAGGGAAUCUUCCACAAUGGGCGAAAGCCUGAUGGAGCAACGCCGCGUGGGUGAAGAAGGUCUUCGGAUCGUAAAACCCUGUUGUUUGAGAAGAAAGUGCGUGAGAGUAACUGUUCACGUUUCGACGGUAUCUAACCAGAAAGCCACGGCUAACUACGUG
rnacentral:rRNA from 1 species